ensembl:snRNA U6 U6 spliceosomal RNA
GUGCUCACUUCAGCAGCACAUAUACAAAAAUUGAAACAAAAGAGCCUCUGUGCAAGGAUGACAUGCAAAUUCAGGAAGUGCUCCAUAUUUUU